rnacentral:sRNA from 1 species
UAGGCUGGCCUACGCUUGUGAGGGUAUGCAAGUUUCCCUGCUGUGUGGUGACACCGACGAAGUGAUCAGUGUCACCAGCGCCAGAUACGGUCGCUUCUCCAGGAAUGUGUGCUUAGACAACGACAGCCAUGAUUAUAGCCAUAUCUUCUGCUCGCAAAAUCAAACAAAUGUUGUUUCAGCAUUAUGUAGCGGACGUUUCUUUUGCCAGGUCCCGGUCAACAGUAACACCUUCAGAAACCCGUGUCCGCCAAAUGUUUACAAACAUGCUGAAAUCACGUACACGUGCAACGCAAGAUGAAAACAAAACAUUUUAUUUCAAGCUAAUAAAUAUUAUUCAAAUCA